UAUAUCACUCGUAGUCGUCUUACUUUUGUUUGUGACUGAUUCUCAUAAUUUCAAUUUUCUUUUUUUGGAGCGUUUCUCCGAAGAUCAUCAUCAUCAUCGCCAGGUAUUCUUUGUUUUUUUCUUUUUCUUCUUUCAAAUUCUUUAGGGUUUUGUCGAUUAUCCAAUUAUGAAUAUCUGCGUUUUUAUAUCCAAAACCCUCUUUUGAUUUCUUCGAUUUGGGGAGGUUUUGUUUGUGUUUUCUUAGAUUUCGAACCUCCCUUUUCUAGAUUCACGACUUUGAUUUUGAAAUUUUGUCAAGAAAUUCCAAAAGCUCUCUCUUUUCUUUUACGAUUUUACGCUUCUUGUUUAUGGAAAUUAAAAAAAAAAACCCUCGUUUAGAUCUGAUUUUUGAGGGGUUUUACUUUCGUGAUUUUCCUAAAAUUUGUAAUUCAGAUUCAGAAUUUCAAUUGAUUUCUUUUUAUCGCUAAUCUAAAAAAAAAACCUCUUUUGUCUUAGGGUUUCUUAUUUCACGUUUCUGAAAGAUUCUAGUUCUUGUUUGGGUUUCUAACAUGGGUCAUGUUUUUCGUUUAUCUGGAUUAGAAACCCUAUUAUCGAUUCUCUGAUUUCAUUUUAAACGAACGAAUUUCAAAAAAGUUUUAUGUUUUCUUCAAACCCAAAAGAAAGGGACCACACAUUAUAUGAUUGUGUCUGUCCGGUUUCUAACUUGGGAAAAUUGUCCCCAUGUUGCCUAAGUAAGACAGCCAAGCUGUGAUUAAACACUGUAAGUCUUGUCAAAUUAUAUUCAAAUGUUGGAUAGUUGAAUCGUAAGACUGGCAAGCUGUGAUUAAACACUGUAAGUCUUGCCAAGUUAUGUUCAAAUAUCGGAUAAUUGAAUCGUAAGACAGACAAGCUGUGAUUAAACACCGUAAGUCUUGUCAAAUUAUGUUCAAAUAUAGGAUAAUUGAAUCGUAAGGAUGGCAAGCUGUGAUUAAACACUGUAAGUCUUGUCUAAUUAUGCUCAAAGAUUGGAUAAUUGAAUCGUAAGACUGGCAAGCUGUGAUUAAACACUGUAAGUCUUGUCAAGUUAUUGUUCAAAGAUCAAAGAUUCAGUGAUCUGCAUAAAAUCUCAAUGAUCUGCUUAUUGAUGGGGAUAACUUGUCUUUCAUAAGACUCAAAGAUUGGAUAAUGUAGUUAAUCCUCUGUGCCUACUUCUUGAAGCUCUUCCUGUUAGCGAAGGUACAUCAUUGUGCAACGCUUGAUAGGUCGAACACGAAAGAGAAAGAUAGAGAUGAGGCACUAAAGGCACAUCAUUAUACAUCUCACUGAGAUAUGAUAUUCAAUAAUGCUGGCUGGGCAGCACGAAAAAGUAAGCAAGCUGUGAGACUUGUGAAACAGUUCUAUAUAUUGCUGGCUGGGCAGCACGAAAUAUUUAAUGCAAGCAUCAUUUUGAUUGAAAUCUGUAAGUCUUGUGUAAUUAUAUUAGACAAGCAUCUUUUUGAUUGAAAUCUGUAAGUCUUGUGUUAUUAUGUAAGCCAAGCAGAUUUUGAUUGAAAUCUGUAAGACUUGUCUAAUUUAAGGCAAGCAUCAUUUUGAUUGAAAUCCGUAAGUCUUGUAUGUAAGCCAAACAGAUUUUGAUUGAAAUAUGCAAGUCUUGUCUAAUUAAGACAAGCAAGAUAUGAUUGAAAUCCGUAAGUCUUGUCUAAUCGUCUAUAUAUUGCUGGCUGGGCAGCAUAAAUAUAAAAUUCAAGUUUCUGCAUAGAACUGCCUUCAUUAAGGCUUUUCUAAUUCAAUGAUCUGCAAAUUGUUGGAGAAUAAAUGUUCUUUAAUAGAACUCGAUGAUCUGCUUAUUAAUGGAGAAUAAAUGUUCUUUAAUAGAACUCAAUGAUCUGCAAAUUAGCGGGGAGAAACUCAAUGAUCUGCUUUAAGACUCAAUGAUCUGCAAAUUGAUGGGGAUAAAUUGUCUUUUAUAAGACUUGUCUAUUGAUGUCCGAAUGAGGAAUUCUCUUGUAUGGAUUGGCAAGCUGUGAUCAACACUGUAAGACUUGUCAAACAGUUCUAUAUAUUGCUGGCUGGGCAGCGUGAUAAAAACUCAAUGAUCUGCAAACAUUCAAUGAUCUGCAGACAUUCAAUAUUCUGCAUGUCUAAUGAUGACUGAUCGGAAAAUGCAUAAAAACAUGGAGUUAAUCCUCUCUGCCUAGCUCUUGAAGCUCUUCCUGUUAGCGAAGGCACAUCAUUGUGCAACGCUUGAUGGGUCGAGGCUCGAGCAAGGCGCUAAAGAGGUAAAUGAUCUGCUUAUUAAAACUCAAUGAUCUGCUUAUAAGAUGGAGAAACAUUCAAUAAUCUGCAAAUUGAUGGACGAAAAAGCAAGAAGCAAGCAUGCUGUGAUUAACACUAUAAGACUGUCAAACAGUUCUAUAUAUUGUUGGUUGGGCAGCGUGAUAAAAACUCAAUGAUCUGCAAACAUUCAAUGAUCUGCAGGCAUUCAAUAUUCUGCAUGUCUAAUGAUGACUGAUCGGAAAAUGCAUAAAAACAUGUAGUUAAUCCUCUCUGUCUAGCUCUUCCUGUUAGCGAAGGCACUUCAUUGUGCAACGCUUGAUGGGUCGAGGCUCAAGAAAGGCGCUAAAGAGGUAAAUGAUCUGCUUAUAAGAUGGAGAAACAUUCAAUAAUCUGCAAAUUGAUGGACGAAAAAGCAAGAAGCAAGCAAGCUGUGAUUAACACUAUAAGACUUGCCAUACAAUUCUAUAUAUUGCUGGCUGGGCAGCGUGAUAAAAACUUCAAGUUUCUGCAUAGAUUUGCCUUCAUUAAGGCUUUUCUAAUGAUGAUGUCCUGAAAAGGAUAAAUUCAAUUACCUGCUUGAAAACUCAAUGAUCUGCUUUGAAACUCAAUGAUCUGCAUGUUAAUGGGGAUACAUUGUCUUUUUAUAAGACUUGCAUAAAACAUGUAGUUAAUCCUUUGUGCCUAGCUCUUGAAGCUCUUCUUGUUAGCGAAGGCACAUCAUUGUGCAACGCUUGAUGGGUCGAUGCUCGAGCAAGGCGCUAAAUAGAAAGAGAGAGAUGAGAGAAAGAAAGUAUUUUUAUCCUAUAUAAAAAUACUCAGAUCUCUGCAUACUACAAGAAUCUGACGUCUUAGUGCUCGGCAGGGAACGCCCUGUUAGGUAAGAAUGAGGUAUGUAUUUCAUCUCCAACUAGUUUGUACUUGUAUCAGUUGUUUCUUAUUACCAUAUGUUACAUCAAACUAGCUUAAUGUUUGAUUUUGGCGUUGAACUUGUGGUAAGUUUGUUUGUUAUGUACAUCUCUUAGUCUUUAAAAACGAAAUCAAUUUUUACUUGUCUCAUUGUCUUCUAACCACAUCUUUUAGGGACUCAUUCUUAAUAGGGAUACUGCAGAAAAUCUUGUUUGCGGAUUAGAUCUUUUUUUGCUUGGAUCAGGUGAAUAUCCCUUCCCUCUUUUAAACCUAUUUAUGAUCUUUCCAAGCAUUUUCCUUGACGAUGUCAUUGAGAAGUUGAAGGCUUUAAACCCUAAGAUACUGAAGACGAAUUUUUUAAUCAGCAAAGGUUGAUAGAAAGAAUCCGCAUGGGGAUGACAGAUACGGAGGCCUUAGAGUUUGCUCAGAAGGAGCAUAAACAUAAUCAGGCGUUUCUGGAAGAAUUGGCAAACACUAUGGCUAAUCUCUGUUCUAAAGAUCUCCCUAACAGCCCGAUGGCGGUGAGAGCUUCUUGCCAACUCACGGUGGUUUAAGACAACUGCCAAAGUAAAUGCAGCGAUUCUUACUAGCCAGACUGGUCUAAAAUGUAAAUGCUCAACUUUCUUACUAGUUAUGGCUUAAGAAAAUGCACUACAGGGUUAAGGCAUUUUGGUGACUUCUAGUGCACUACAGGAUAACCUGAACGAGUAGCAAUUUCUGUCUCAUUAUAAGAAAGCUCUCGUUUCUCAGAAAACAUGAGGAAGCUAUCAUGAAUUUGGGGAAGAUGCUGGAUGUAUAGGAAAUUCAACUUCUUUGCAAGCAUGAAAAUUAUGGCAUUUUGGUGACUUGUAGUACACAACAGAAUUGGCUAAACUAGUAGGUAUGUUUUUUCUUGACUUUAGUCAUAAAGGGUUUGUAUCAAAUUUGCAGGAAUCAGUGUAAUCAUCUCCCUAAGUCCACAUGACGCUAAAAGACUAGCUUAUCGACUUUUUUGAAAUUAAUCAAAGGUAUUGCCUAUAAACAAUUUUUCUUGAGAUUUUUUUUCUAACCUUUGUUAGAAUUUGGAGCCUUUAAUAUGUUGAAGUAAAGCAUAACUAUGCAAGAACUCGUGAUGAAAAUUCUGCUAUGUUCUCAAGUCAGGGCAUUUUUGGUGGCAGUGUGGUAGGUAGUGUCUGAUUCUUAAUCUAGAAAAUUCAGCCAAUUUUGAUGAGGAAUCAAUGUUAUCCUCUCCCCAAGUCCAUGUGAGGCUAAGGGAUUACUGACUUUGUCAUCCAUUUCUUGUAUAAAAGCUUAUCGACCUCUUUCAAAUCAAAGGUAGGAGGUGGAGCCAAACCAAAUUUUCAGAGAUUUUCAUCUUCAGAAAAGCGAAGGUUUGGUCUUUCUAACAUUUGACUUGGUUUUUUUAGGUUGAUUGUUUGCUUUAGGAUGAUAGAAAAACACAUCUUUAAUGCUAACACUAAAACAAACAAAAACACAUACACAAGAAGGCGAACACAUACACUAAGCGCAAACAUAAACAUAAACGCAUAUAGACAAAAGUGAACAUAAACACUAACUGCAAUCGUAAACAUAAACUAACAAAAACGAGAAAUACAAAUGCCUAAGACAAACGCAAACGUAAAAUUCAAACCUAAAAGUUCAAAUGCAAAUACUAAUGUGAACAUGACUCAAUAUUUCAUUUCCUAUUUGCUUCGAUUCAGUUCGGCUAAAAAUCGUACAAACGGUUCCUACUAUAACUAGUUAUUUCGGUUUUCUACUAGCAGCUUUAACUAUAACCUCAGUUCUAUUUAUUGGUCUAAGCAAAAUACGACUUAUUGAGUUUUAGGUUUCUAAAUUGAUUUUCGUAAUAUUUUGCUUAGUUAAGUUUGGUUAGCUAUUAAAUUAGGGAAUAUUGAGUUAAGUUUAUUUUUAUUAAAUCGUUUGUUAUAAAUCCACUAUUAUUAAACGCUUUCUGACACGCGUCCCGAGGCAAGUUCCCAAGUUCAGAUUUAGAUCCCGUUUCUCCUUCUUCAAUCCGGCGACCCCGACGGCCUCUUCGCCUUGUGUGGGUGAAGGUUAGCUCUUCCUGUCGGCGGGAUGCCGUCUGUUAAGGAUCCAAGCUGUCUUCCCUCUAAAGCAUCCUCUCCCAAGCGGAUGCAGCUUACUGUGUAGACCACUCAGCUUUGCAAAAUCUUAGAUUUGGCUCCCAGAAUCUCCGAACCUUCUCACUAGAUCCCGUAAACUAGUGAAGAACCAUUUCACCCCAGUGGUGACGAUCGUUGGUCAUCUUUUCAAUAGAUUUGUCGAGUACCGACUUAUCUCCUCAAACUCAAUUCUUCUCCAUGUCUUGCAAGUUCUCGUACGCGGAAAAAAAGGAGUUGCGGUUGCAAAUCUUCCCCCAAAGAUCCUAAGAGUCAAAGUCCCAGCCUUUGGUAGCACCGAGCUUAGAAGGAAGCAUUCGCUUACCAUCAUUGGUCGACUUACCAACCCUGCAACUCAGCGUACUUGGUUAAUGAUCCCUUGCUUGGCUGAUUUAUGGAAGUCUUUGUCUCGAUCCAUUGGAGCAGAUCUGGGGCAAUGACGCCUCCUAUUACAAUUAGCGAACGAGUAAGACCUCCUCAAAGUUCUAGAAAACCAACCUUUCCACUUUGCAAGAUAGAUGGUCAUCAACCAAAGGUGGGAACCAACAACGUCAAGCUCCUUCCUAUCAUUCUAGAUCGAUGCGCAAGGCAUCCAUGUUCAUCUUUGAUCGGAAGAAAUCCUCUAUAGCGUGGUGAAGGGAGUGAGAUACUUUGUAAGGGUAUAGAGAUCAUGACAACCUAUGCGAGAAUCAGAGUUAUGGUGAAUGGAUUUAAACCUAUGGUGAAGCAAACUUGCAUGGAUUUUGAAGAUGCAAACGAAGCAUUAGUGGAUUUGGUAUAUGAUAAACUGGAGAAGCACUGCCAAAGUUACAACAUGUUAAAUCAUGAGGGCAAAGACUGCCUAAGCCAGCUCUCGCAUGCAGGACAAAAAAACUGCAUUAUCCCCUCCUAUUCCACCAAGAAGGGAUCCUCGGGAGGAAUACCCACCUAGAAGGAGGUGGGAGAACAUUAUUACCCAAUCUAGGGAUUACCCCCACAUGGUGGAAAUGAUCACAAAAAAAGAUGCAGCCCAGGCGCUCUAAAAGUUAUGAUCAUCGAGGCUGGUCAGCGCAAGGUUUUAGAACUCGGGUUGGGUUCGGGUUUUUCAGAUCUAGAAGUUUAGGAUCCAUUCGGAUAUUUUGAGAUUUCGGGUCUGGUUCGGUUCGGUGUUCGGGUUUAUUCAAAUAUUCAAAAAUCAAAAUUUUGUAUGCAAAUCUAUCAAAUUACUUGAAAAUUUCAAAAACUCCCAAAACAACACCAGUAUUUUUA